GAUGAACGCUGGCGGCGUGCUUAACACAUGCAAGUCGAACGGGAAACCUUUUAUUGAAGCUUCGGCAGAUUUAAUUUGUUUCUAGUGGCGGACGGGUGAGUAACGCGUGGGUAACCUGCCCUAUACAGGGGGAUAACAACCAGAAAUGGUUGCUAAUACCGCAUAAGCGCACAGGACCGCAUGGUCUGGUGUGAAAAACUCCGGUGGUAUAGGAUGGACCCGCGUUGGAUUAGCCAGUUGGCAGGGUAACGGCCUACCAAAGCGACGAUCCAUAGCCGGCCUGAGAGGGUGAACGGCCACAUUGGGACUGAGACACGGCCCAGACUCCUACGGGAGGCAGCAGUGGGGAAUAUUGCACAAUGGGGGAAACCCUGAUGCAGCGACGCCGCGUGAAGGAAGAAGUAUCUCGGUAUGUAAACUUCUAUCAGCAGGGAAGAUAGUGACGG
rnacentral:rRNA from 1 species